rnacentral:rRNA from 1 species
GACGAACGCUGGCGGCGUGCUUAACACAUGCAAGUCGAACGGAAAGGCCCUGCUUUUGUGGGGUGCUCGAGUGGCGAACGGGUGAGUAACACGUGAGUAACCUGCCCGUGACUUUGGGAUAACUUCAGGAAACUGGGGCUAAUACCGGAUAGGAGCUCCUGCUGCAUGGUGGGGGUUGGAAAGUUUCGGCGGUUGGGGCUGGACUCGCGGCUUAUCAGCUUGUUGGUGGGGUAGUGGCUUACCAAGGCUUUGACGGGUAGCCGGCCUGAGAGGGUGACCGGCCACAUUGGGACUGAGAGACGGCCCAGACUCCUACGGGAGGCAGCAGUGGGGAAUAUUGCACAAUGGGCGGAAGCCUGAUGCAGCAACGCCGCGUGCGGGAUGACGGCCUUCGGGUUGUAAACCGCUUUCGCCUGUGACGAAGCGUGAGUGACGGUAAUGGGUAAAGAAGCACCGGCUAACUACGUG